UACGAAGGGGGCGAGCGUUGUUCGGAAUCACUGGGCGUAAAGGGCGCGUAGGCGGCCCUCCUUGUCGCGUGUGAAAGCCCCGGGCUCAACCUGGGAAUUGCAUUUGAGACUGCGUAGCUAGGGUGCGGAAGAGGAAAGCGGAAUUCCACGUGUAGCGGUGAAAUGCGUAGAGAUGUGGAGGAACACCAGUGGCGAAGGCGGCUUUCUGGUCUGUAACUGACGCUGAGGCGCGAAAGCGUGGGGAGCAAACAGG
rnacentral:rRNA from 1 species